UGUUACAUAGUUACCUAGUUACAUAGCUGAAAAGAGACUUGUGUCCAUCAAGUUCAGCCUUCCUCACAUAUGUUGUUGCUGUUGAUCUGAAGCGCUUCCAAUUUUGCCACAAACUAGGAAAAAAUUCCUUCUUGACCCCAAAAUAGCAGUCAGAUGUCUCCUUGGAUCAAGCAGCUAUUACCCCACUAAUUAGAAAUUAUAUCCCUGUAUGUUAUGUUUUUGUAAG